GACGAACGCUGGCGGCGUGCUUAACACAUGCAAGUCGAGCGGUAAGGCCUUUCGGGGUACACGAGCGGCGAACGGGUGAGUAACACGUGGGUGAUCUGCCCUGCACUUCGGGAUAAGCCUGGGAAACUGGGUCUAAUACCGGAUAUGACCUCCUAUCGCAUGGUGGGUGGUGGAAAGAUUUAUCGGUGCAGGAUGGGCCCGCGGCCUAUCAGCUUGUUGGUGGGGUAAUGGCCUACCAAGGCGACGACGGGUAGCCGACCUGAGAGGGUGACCGGCCACACUGGGACUGAGACACGGCCCAGACUCCUACGGGAGGCAGCAGUGGGGAAUAUUGCACAAUGGGCGAAAGCCUGAUGCAGCGACGCCGCGUGAGGGAUGACGGCCUUCGGGUUGUAAACCUCUUUCAGCAGGGACGAAGCGCAAGUGACGGUACCUGCAGAAGAAGCACCGGCUAACUACGUGCCAGCAGCCGCGGUAAUACGUAGGGUGCAAGCGUUGUCCGGAAUUACUGGGCGUAAAGAGUUCGUAGGCGGCUUGUCGCGUCGUUUGUGAAAACCAGCAGCUCAACUGCUGGCUUGCAGGCGAUACGGGCAGACUUGAGUACUGCAGGGGAGACUGGAAUUCCUGGUGUAGCGGUGAAAUGCGCAGAUAUCAGGAGGAACACCGGUGGCGAAGGCGGGUCUCUGGGCAGUAACUGACGCUGAGGAACGAAAGCGUGGGUAGCGAACAG
rnacentral:rRNA from 1 species